GGGUUGUGAGGUUAAGCGACUAAGCGUACACGGUGGAUGCCCUGGCAGUCAGAGGCGAUGAAGGACGUGCUAAUCUGCGAAAAGCGUCGGUAAGGUGAUAUGAACCGUUACAGCCGGCGAUGUCCGAAUGGGGAAACCCAGUGCAAUUCGUUGCACUAUCGUUAACUGAAUACAUAGGUUAACGAGGCGAACCGGGGGAACUGAAACAUCUAAGUACCCCGAGGAAAAGAAAUCAACCGAGAUUCCCCCAGUAGCGGCGAGCGAACGGGGAGCAGCCCAGAGUCUGAAUCAGCUUGUGUGUUAGUGGAACGGUCUGGAAAGUCCGACGGUACAGGGUGAUAGUCCCGUACACCAAAAUGCACAGGCUGUGAACUCGAAGAGUAGGGCGGGACACGUGGUAUCCUGUCUGAAUAUGGGGGGACCAUCCUCCAAGGCUAAAUACUCCUGACUGACCGAUAGUGAACCAGUACCGUGAGGGAAAGGCGAAAAGAACCCCGGCGAGGGGAGUGAAAAAGAACCUGAAACCGUGUACGUACAAGCAGUGGGAGCACCUUCGGGUGUGACUGCGUACCUUUUGUAUAAUGGGUCAGCGACUUAUAUUCUGUAGCAAGGUUAACCGUAUAGGGGAGCCGCAGGGAAACCGAGUCUUAACUGGGCGUUAAGUUGCAGGGUAUAGACCCGAAACCCGGUGAUCUAGCCAUGGGCAGGUUGAAGGUUGGGUAACACUAACUGGAGGACCGAACCGACUAAUGUUGAAAAAUUAGCGGAUGACUUGUGGCUGGGGGUGAAAGGCCAAUCAAACCGGGAGAUAGCUGGUUCUCCCCGAAAGCUAUUUAGGUAGCGCCUCGUGAAUUCAUCUUCGGGGGUAGAGCACUGUUUCGGCUAGGGGGUCAUCCCGACUUACCAACCCGAUGCAAACUACGAAUACCGAAGAAUGUUAUCACGGGAGACACACGGCGGGUGCUAACGUCCGUCGUGAAGAGGGAAACAACCCAGACCGCCAGCUAAGGUCCCAAAGUCAUGGUUAAGUGGGAAACGAUGUGGGAAGGCACAGACAGCCAGGAUGUUGGCUUAGAAGCAGCCAUCAUUUAAAGAAAGCGUAAUAGCUCACUGGUCGAGUCGGCCUGCGCGGAAGAUGUAACGGGGCUAAACCAUGCACCGAAGCUGCGGCAGCGACACUAUGUGUUGUUGGGUAGGGGAGCGUUCUGUAAGCCUGCGAAGGUGACCUGUGAGGGUUGCUGGAGGUAUCAGAAGUGCGAAUGCUGACAUAAGUAACGAUAAAGCGGGUGAAAAGCCCGCUCGCCGGAAGACCAAGGGUUCCUGUCCAACGUUAAUCGGGGCAGGGUGAGUCGACCCCUAAGGCGAGGCCGAAAGGCGUAGUCGAUGGGAAACAGGUUAAUAUUCCUGUACUUGGUGUUACUGCGAAGGGGGGACGGAGAAGGCUAUGUUAGCCGGGCGACGGUUGUCCCGGUUUAAGCAUGUAGGCUGGUUGUCCAGGCAAAUCCGGAUAAUCAAGGCUGAGGUGUGAUGACGAGGCACUACGGUGCUGAAGUAACAAAUGCCCUGCUUCCAGGAAAAGCCUCUAAGCAUCAGGUAACAUUAAAUCGUACCCCAAACCGACACAGGUGGUCAGGUAGAGAAUACCAAGGCGCUUGAGAGAACUCGGGUGAAGGAACUAGGCAAAAUGGUGCCGUAACUUCGGGAGAAGGCACGCUGGUGUGUAGGUGAAGUCCCUGCGGAUGGAGCUGAGACCAGUCGAAGAUACCAGCUGGCUGCAACUGUUUAUUAAAAACACAGCACUGUGCAAACACGAAAGUGGACGUAUACGGUGUGACGCCUGCCCGGUGCCGGAAGGUUAAUUGAUGGGGUUAUCCGUAAGGAGAAGCUCUUGAUCGAAGCCCCGGUAAACGGCGGCCGUAACUAUAACGGUCCUAAGGUAGCGAAAUUCCUUGUCGGGUAAGUUCCGACCUGCACGAAUGGCGUAAUGAUGGCCAGGCUGUCUCCACCCGAGACUCAGUGAAAUUGAACUCGCUGUGAAGAUGCAGUGUACCCGCGGCAAGACGGAAAGACCCCGUGAACCUUUACUAUAGCUUGACACUGAACAUUGAGCCUUGAUGUGUAGGAUAGGUGGGAGGCUUUGAAGCGUGGACGCCAGUCUGCGUGGAGCCAACCUUGAAAUACCACCCUUUAAUGUUUGAUGUUCUAACGUUGGCCCCUUACCGGGGUUGCGGACAGUGUCUGGUGGGUAGUUUGACUGGGGCGGUCUCCUCCCAAAGCGUAACGGAGGAGCACGAAGGUUAGCUAAUCCUGGUCGGACAUCAGGAGGUUAGUGCAAUGGCAUAAGCUAGCUUGACUGCGAGCGUGACGGCGCGAGCAGGUGCGAAAGCAGGUCAUAGUGAUCCGGUGGUUCUGAAUGGAAGGGCCAUCGCUCAACGGAUAAAAGGUACUCCGGGGAUAACAGGCUGAUACCGCCCAAGAGUUCAUAUCGACGGCGGUGUUUGGCACCUCGAUGUCGGCUCAUCACAUCCUGGGGCUGAAGUAGGUCCCAAGGGUAUGGCUGUUCGCCAUUUAAAGUGGUACGCGAGCUGGGUUUAGAACGUCGUGAGACAGUUCGGUCCCUAUCUGCCGUGGGCGCUGGAGAAUUGAGGGGGGCUGCUCCUAGUACGAGAGGACCGGAGUGGACGCAUCACUGGUGUUCGGGUUGUCAUGCCAAUGGCACUGCCCGGUAGCUAAAUGCGGAAGAGAUAAGUGCUGAAAGCAUCUAAGCACGAAACUUGCCCCGAGAUGAGUUCUCCCUGAGACUUUAAGUCUCCUGAAGGAACGUUGAAGACGACGACGUUGAUAGGCCGGGUGUGUAAGCGCAGCGAUGCGUUGAGCUAACCGGUACUAAUGAACCGUGAGGCUUAACCUUACAACGCCGAAG
rnacentral:rRNA from 2 species